UACGGAGGGUGCAAGCGUUAUCCGGAUUCACUGGGUUUAAAGGGUGCGUAGGUGGGUUGAUAAGUCAGUGGUGAAAUCCCCGAGCUUAACUUGGGAACUGCCAUUGAUACUAUUGAUCUUGAAUACCGUGGAGGUCGGCGGAAUAUGUCAUGUAGCGGUGAAAUGCUUAGAUAUGACAUAGAACACCAUUUGCGAAGGCAGCUGGCUACGCGAAUAUUGACACUGAUGCACGAAAGCGUGGGGAUCAAACAGG
rnacentral:rRNA from 1 species